CAGAACCAAUCACUCCCAGGAUUUAAUUUGGAGAUGCAUUUUUCAAGACUUGAACACUUCCUGGAAAAAAUGAGGAAUUCUUAUAUUUACAUGCCUGAUUUAAAAAAAAAAACACUUUUCAAAAAUGAUUCAAAUGGUAUAAAUUAAUAUUCAUAUAAAAAUAUGUAGAUCUAACUGGCAUUUCAUAAACCCUGCCUCCUGAAGAGUCAAUGUCUGCAACAUCAGCGCCCCGGUGAUUUUUAGUUUCAUAUUUAGCAGCGUUUAUGUAGAAAGGUCUCCCCUAGGCAUCAUUCUUUAAGACAAAAUCAUCUUUCUUCGUGUAUCUCAGAUUAUAUCGUCCCCUCCUGCGCGUGUAAAACAUGACAUCCAAAAAGGUCUUGUACUUGAAUCCAUGGGGAUGUUUGAUAGCAAGAGUGGCCGAAUAAAAUUUGUCAAUGUCGGCAUCGCUUAUAACCUCUUUGUGUAGUAUACUUUCUUUACCCAACCGUUUUAUUUGUGUUAAAAUAGCUUUAAACAUUUCAGUGGACAACUGGAAUGCAGGGUCAUUCACAAUAUCUAAUUUUCUCAGUGAAAGAAAGUGCCGUUGUAACCCAAACCGAACAUUUAUUAUUGUUGCUCUCGAAUAAAAAUCUCCAUUCUUCUUCCGACGCUCUGCAUAAAAAAUUAUGAGGAAAAAUCUGCCAGGUCGUCCUUUGUUUUCUGCAAAUCGUCAUAUUCCUCCACUUCCUUGGACUCACAGUACUCUCGAAUAAUCCUAAUGGAGGCUUGGAUUACGUUUUUGGUAUUUGCACAAUUUCUGUUUUCAAGAAUGCUCGAUAAUUCGCUUUGAUUCAGCUCAGCAAAUCUCCCACCGAUAGAACAACUUUCUUCGGAAGCAGCCAUAGUUGUGACAGACGACAAAUGAUGAAGUUGUGCACAUCCAGACUGAUGACGUAUUUCACACCUACGCACUCUUUAAAAUUAUUAACAGGAAACACGGAUAUUUUAUAACAUUAAAUUUUAUCUUGCAAAAUAGGUUUAAAAAUCAUAGAAAAUUUUAUUCAUUAAUAGCAGCUCAUUAUUCCAGAGGUCAUUAUUUAUAAUGACUCCUUCAGCUGGUCAACACUGGGAACCUGCAGCACUUCUAGGUCACUUACCUGAUAUCCGGCCUUAUAUUGAGUGAUUGUUAGGUCGUUCUUCACAUAUUGAUUUGACUACGGAUUACACUGUUUACCUGAUCAAGACAAAGGGCUCAUGGCGGGUGUGACUGGUCAACAGCGGAUUCUUAUUCCUCCUAGGCAUGCGUUCCCACCUCUAGUGUGUCCAAUGGUAUGUAUUGCACAUUUGCAUAUUAAAAGUUUGCAAGAAUACAACAAUGUAAACCCUCGGUUAUGCACAAGAAAAAACAACCUGCGUCAUAACUAGAACGUUCCUCUUAAACAAGGCGUGAAUGUGUAGGUCUCUGUCCCAUCCCCCGGAGAGGUAGGUGUUUUUCAGUCACAUGUUUUUUCUUCAGCUUUUACUUGUAAUAAGUAUGUUAGAUACACCAAGGAAUGAAACCCCUAUAUUUUUUUCUGAUUUUUAUCCACCUUUUUAUCCCCUGUAGUCUCAUCAUUGUGGAUAAUACUCUAAAACUUACAUCACUAUGUCAGUUAAAAAUCUCAUUCAAAUUUAAGACAACCAUAUUCAGUAUACAUGUACAUGUAUAUUAUGUAUUUUAUAAAACGUGGGAUAUAAAUAUUUGAUUUUCACAUACAACCUGUCCUUAUGUUGAAUCCUGUCUGACACGUUUCAUAACCUUUAUUAGGCCCCUCUUCACAUACUGAUUGUGAGUACGGAUAAAUCGGAUUGCGUGAUCAAGAUAGAGAGUUAAGGCGCGUGUGACCGGUCAACAGGGGAUGCUUCCUCCUCCUCGGCACCUGAUGCCACAUCUAAAGUGUGUCCAGUGGUUCGUGUUUUCCAUAUUCUCACUGUAACAUUCUUAUUAGGAAUUAUGAAAUUGAUCACUGUUGGAUAUCGUCACUUAUUUAUCACAUCACGCUAUCAUUUGCAUUGAGGGUAUAUAUUGCACAAUAUAUUUUGUAUUGCUUGUAGGAGUUAUGAGAUUUAUCACUGUUCGUUAUCUCCACCUUACAUUUACAAAUUAAAAGUCAGCAAGAAUACAGCGAUGUAAGACCUCAAUUGUGCACAAGAAAAAAUAACAUGAGCCACGAAUCGAACGGUUUGUUUUGUUUUUUUUCAAACAAGGGUGGAUGUGUACUUGUUUGUGUCCCAUUUCCACAGAGAGGUAGAGGUUUUUUUUUUAAUUACAUGCUUUAACGAUUUUACAUGUAAUAAGUGUGUUAUACGAACAUACACCAAGGAAUGAAACCCCUAUCUUUUUCUUAAUUUUUUAUAUCUCAUCAAUGUAGAAAGUAUUUCAAAACUAACAUCACUGGAUCAGGUAAAAAUAUCAUCAUGUGAAAAGUAUUCCAAAACUAACAACGCUAUGUCAGUUUAAAAUCCGAUUUAAAUUUUAAGACAACCAGAUUCAGUAUACAGGUAUAUUAUGUAUUUUAUAAAACGUAAGAUAUAAUGAUCUAAUUUACAAAUACAACCUGUCAUUAGGGUCGAUUUCUGUCGGAUGUUUUAUAAUGAUUGUUAGACCUUUCUUGGCACACUGAUUUUGACUACGAAUUACCCUGUUUAUCUGAUCAAGACAUAGGGAUCACAGUGGUUUUGACCGGUCGAAAGUGGAUGCUUACUCCUCUUAUGCACCCGAUCGUACUCCUGGUAUGUUGAGGGGUUCGUCUUUACCCAACUCUUUAUUUUUUAUCCCUUAUUGGAGUUAUGAGAUUGAUCACUGUUUGUUAUCUUUAUCUUUCAUACUGAUUGUGACAAUGGAUAACUCCAUUUACCUGAUCAAGAUAAAGGGCUCAUGGCGGGUGUUACCGGUCAGCAUUCCAUGUUUCCUCCUCCUAGGCACCAGAUGUCGCCUUUAUAGUGUGUCCAGUGGUUCGUUUUUUUCCAAUUUUACAUUCUUUAUAGGAAUAAUCAAAUUGAUCACUGUUCGAUAUCUUCACGUUUUUUAUCACAGUACGUAAUCAUUUCAUUGUAGAUGUAUAUUGCAUAUUUGCGUUGGAAUUAACAAGUUAACAUGUCUUCUGUAUACCAGUAGUCCUUUUCGUUGUUUUUUAACUUUGGUAGUCUUUAAGUUAUUACAUGUAGCUGAAUGUGUUA